rnacentral:rRNA from 1 species
GACAGAGGGUGCAAACGUUGUUCGGAAUUACUGGGCGUAAAGCGCAUGUAGGCGGCCUAGCAGGUCGGAUGUGAAAUCCCUCGGCUCAACCAAGGAAGUGCAUUCGAAACCGCAAGGCUCGAGUCCCGGAGAGGAAGGUGGAAUGCUUGGUGUAGAGGUGAAAUUCGUAGAUAUCAAACAGAACACCUGCGGCGAAGGCGGCCUUCUGGACGAUGACUGACGCUGAGACGCGAAAGCGUGGGGAGCAAACAGG